AUUGAACGCUGGCGGCAUGCCUUACACAUGCAAGUCGAACGGCAGCACGGGGGCAACCCCUUGAGAGUGGCGAACGGGUGAGUAAUGCAUCGGAACGUGCCCAGUCGUGGGGGAUAACGCAGCGAAAGCUGUGCUAAUACCGCAUACGAUCUCCGGAUGAAAGCGGGGGACCGAAAGGCCCCGCGCGAUUGGAGCGGCCGAUGUCAGAUUAGGUAGUUGGUGGGGUAAAGGCUCACCAAGCCAACGAUCUGUAGCUGGUCUGAGAGGACGACCAGCCACACUGGGACUGAGACACGGCCCAGACUCCUACGGGAGGCAGCAGUGGGGAAUUUUGGACAAUGGGCGCAAGCCUGAUCCAGCAAUGCCGCGUGCAGGAAGAAGGCCUUCGGGUUGUAAACUGCUUUUGUACGGAACGAAAAGGUCUCCUCUAAUACAGGGGGCUCAUGACGGUACCGUAAGAAUAAGCACCGGCUAACUACGUGCCAGCCGCCGCCGUAA
rnacentral:rRNA from 1 species